CUCGCCUCCAUGUGCUUUUAUGGAUAGUGCUGUUCCAUCUGCGUCUCCUGCGGCAGGAGGCUCCCUGUCGCGGCAGCCGGCCGGGCACGGGUGCCUGCUACCCCGCAUGGGAAGCGGAGGCGGAAAUCCAAGAGAAACGAGCCCGACGGCCGUGCAGGAUGCAAUGGAAACCCCGGUCUGCAGCGGAUGCUCUCCGAAGCGAAAGGGAGGCGCCAGCAAGUUGGCGGAUGUGGCCUCUGUGCCGAGUGAGGGGGCUUUUCCUUGAGAAGGGAGGAAGUUGCAUGCUUCAUACCAACCUCGCGUUUCCGUCAAAGGUUUAAACACGGCCUUAGGUGCCRCAGUUUGUGUUGGCAUCCGGAAUAUUUUGGUUGGGAGGAGGUGGGGCUGAGUUUAACAUCAGUGCUCUUUUUAGAGGGGGGGGAAAAAAACACACACGUAUUUUCAGCUUUUUCAUGGUUGUUUUUCAUUCGCUGUAUAUCAAGGUGAGAAGAAAGCAAGCAGUGUUUCAGGUGUCUGCUUUUAUGGAAAUCCUGAAGCGGCCCUCAGAAACUGUCGGAAUCAGCCUGAAAGGAUCAUGUGAUUUUUUUAUAUAUUUUUUUUUUAAGUUUUUUUUUUUUUUUCUUCUGGGGUGUUGGUGCAAUUAGAGAUCUUCCUUGGUGAAGGCUGAGCAUCUGGGGCACGUGUACCUAUGGGGCUCAGGCUUCAAGAAAAACACCUAAUACUAAAAGUUUUUGCAGUGAAGUUACGUGGGCCUGACCAUGCAGCCUGCUCCGCAGCGUGCUGUCGGUUGAGCCAGCAGUGUCAUUAACUGUGUUUUCAUAAACAGCUGUUCAUUGAGCUAGAAGUUGCACAGCUAAGCCCAAAGACUUCUGUUUUAUAGCCUCCCCCUCCUUUUUUUUUUUUUUUUUAUUUUUUUUGGUAUCCUUCUCACUUCUGUGAGGCUUCUAUUUUCAGUGUUGUGCGUUUGUCUCAAAAAAAAAACCAAACAAUUUUCCAUCCCAGAUGUCCUGCAGGGCUCAGCCACAUUAAUGUCUGCUUUGCUUUUUAGUUAAUGAUGUCUCAUUUGGGCCUGGUAACGUAACUUGUCCGCUUGCUGGUAAGAGUGGCCAUUAACUCGGGAGAGAGUUGUGCCCUACCAGCAAGGUACAAAACACAGGUUUGUUCUUGGAGCAGUAAAAGCUUUAACUAUAUCUUUCUUGUAUCUUAUGCCGUAGAAAUGGGCAAAUGCUGGUAAGACGUGGAGGCGAGUUUGUUCUUUCCUGUGC
rnacentral:lncRNA from 1 species